GAGGUUGUGAGCACAGUGGAGACAGACAGACAGUAGGUGACAAAAAAUUUAUGAUGCAGCAGAGCUCCAGGCACAAAGGUCCCUGACAGGGGUCCCGAACGAUCCCGAGCCGGACGCUUGGAGAACAGACAGAGCCGGAUCGUCUGAAACGACGGCGUCUCCCGAACACGAGCAGGCCUGGAGGAUGAUUAAUGAGCAGGUGAAGGCUCUCCUCGGCCGGGCCCCAGCGCAGAUCGAGGGGCCAAGCGUGCCGGAAAACAAAAAAGCUUUCCGCAUUCUCUGCGAUCCUCGACACGUUCAGACAGCUCUUCUAGUUGGAAAGGAGCGUUUCCAUGGUAACCACACAAAGACGGCGCUCCCGAGGACCGAGCCGAGCGCUUCCCUUUCUCUCACUCCCUAGGUAGGACACUUCUGCUUGAAGGUGACGUCCCUCCCAACAAACUGACCAG